GACAGAGGGUGCAAACGUUGCUCGGAAUUACUGGGCGUAAAGCGCGUGUAGGUGGAUUGGUGUGUCAGAUGUGAAAUCCCUGGGCUCAACCCAGGAACUGCACCUGAAACUACCAGUCUUGAGUGGUGGAGAGGGAAGUGGAAUUCCUGGUGUAGAGGUGAAGUUCGUAGAUAUCAGGAGGAACACCAGUGGCGAAGGCGGCUUCCUGGACACCAACUGACGCUGAGACGCGAAAGCGUGGGGAGCAAACAGG
rnacentral:rRNA from 1 species